rnacentral:rRNA from 1 species
ACGAACGCUGGCGGCACGCUUAACACAUGCAAGUCGAACGAGAGAAGAGGAGCUUGCUUUUCUGAUCUAGUGGCGGACGGGUGAGUAACACGUGAGCAAUCUGCCUUUCAGAGGGGGAUACCGAUUGGAAACGAUCGUUAAUACCGCAUAACAUAAUUGAACCGCAUGAUUUGAUUAUCAAAGAUUUAUCGCUGAAAGAUGAGCUCGCGUCUGAUUAGCUAGUUGGUAAGGUAACGGCUUACCAAGGCGACGAUCAGUAGCCGGACUGAGAGGUUGAUCGGCCACAUUGGGACUGAGACACGGCCCAGACUCCUACGGGAGGCAGCAGUGGGGAAUAUUGCACAAUGGAGGAAACUCUGAUGCAGCGAUGCCGCGUGAGGGAAGAAGGUUUUAGGAUUGUAAACCUCUGUCUUCAGGGACGAAAAAAGACGGUACCUGAGGAGGAAGCUCCGGCUAACUACGUGCCAGCAGCCGCGGUAAUACGUAGGGAGCGAGCGUUGUCCGGAAUUACUGGGUGUAAAGGGAGCGUAGGCGGGAUCGCAAGUCAGAUGUGAAAACUAUGGGCUUAACCCAUAAACUGCAUUUGAAACUGUGGUUCUUGAGUGAAGUAGAGGUAAGCGGAAUUCCUAGUGUAGCGGUGAAAUGCGUAGAUAUUAGGAGGAACAUCAGUGGCGAAGGCGGCUUACUGGGCUUUAACUGACGCUGAGGCUCGAAAGCGUGGGGAGCAAACAGGAUUAGAUACCCUGGUAGUCCACGCCGUAAACGAUGAUUACUAGGUGUGGGGGGACUGACCCCUUCCGUGCCGCAGCAAACGCAAUAAGUAAUCCACCUGGGGAGUACGACCGCAAGGUUGAAACUCAAAGGAAUUGACGGGGGCCCGCACAAGCGGUGGAGUAUGUGGAUUAAUUCGAAGCAACGCGAAGAACCUUACCAGGUCUUGACAUCGUAUGCAUAGCUCAGAGAUGAGUGAAAUCUCUUCGGAGACAUAUAGACAGGUGGUGCAUGGUUGUCGUCAGCUCGUGUCGUGAGAUGUUGGGUUAAGUCCCGCAACGAGCGCAACCCUUACUGUUAGUUGCUACGCAAGAGCACUCUAGCAGGACUGCCGUUGACAAAACGGAGGAAGGUGGGGAUGACGUCAAAUCAUCAUGCCCCUUAUGACCUGGGCCUCACACGUACUACAAUGGCUGUCAACAGAGGGAUGCAAAGCCGCGAGGUGGAGCGAACCCCUAAAAGCAGUCUUAGUUCGGAUUGUAGGCUGCAACCCGCCUACAUGAAGUCGGAAUUGCUAGUAAUCGCAGAUCAGCAUGCUGCGGUGAAUACGUUCCCGGGCCUUGUACACACCGCCCGUCACGCCAUGGGAGUCGGUAACACCCGAAGCCUGUAGUCUAACCGCAAGGAGGACGCAGUCGAAGGUGGGAUUGAUGACUGGGGUG